GAGCUUUAAUUAACUAAUUCAUAACUAAAUACAGUAAUUCUUUUAUAGAAAUAAUUAUAUGUUAUUGAAUUAACAAUUUAGGUUGGGGUGACCUCGGAAAAAAAGAUAACUCCCGAGAUAUUUAUAUUAAGACCUACAAGUCAAAAUUGCCUAACAAUAUUAUUGACCCAUAUAUAAUGAUCAACGAAACAAGUUACCCUAGGGAUAACAGCGCAAUCCUAUUUAAGAGUCCAUAUCGAAAAUUAGGGUUUAC
rnacentral:rRNA from 1 species